rnacentral:tRNA from 1 species
GGAGGUUACAGCACAGUGGUUGAGCACAUGCUUAGUGUGCAGGAGGUCCUGGGUUCAAUUCCCAGUAUCUCCU